rnacentral:rRNA from 1 species
UACGGAGGGGGCGAGCGUUGUUCGGAAUCAUUGGGCGUAAAGGGCGCGUAGGCGGCCGUCCAAGUCGGGUGUGAAAUCCCACGGCCCAACCGUGGAAGCGCCUCUGAUACUGCGGGCCUCGAGGGAGGUAGGGGCGUGCGGAACUCAGGGUGGAGCGGUGAAAUGCGUAGAUAUCCUGAGGAACACCGGUGGCGAAAGCGGCGCGCUGGACCUCUUCUGACGCUGAGGCGCGAAAGCCAGGGGAGCGAACGGG